CCUACGGGUGGCAGCAGUGGGGAAUAUUGCACAAUGGGGGAAACCCUGAUGCAGCGACGCCGCGUGAGUGAAGCAGUAUUUCGGUAUGUAAAGCUCUAUCAGCAGGGAAGAAAAUGACGGUACCUGACUAAGAAUCCCCGGCGAACUACGUUCCAGCAGCCGCGGUAAUACGUAGGGGGCGAGCGUUAUCCGGAUUUACUGGGUGUAAAGGGAGCGUAGACGGCGGAACAAGUCAGAAGUGAAAACCAGGGGCUCAACCCUGGGAGUGCUUUUGAAACUGGUUGGCUGGAGUGCAGUAGAGGUAAGCGGAAUUCCUAGUGUAGCGGUGAAAUGCGUAGAUAUUAGGAGGAACACCAGUGGCGAAGGCGGCUUACUGGACUGUCACUGACGUUGAGGCUCGAAAGCGUGGGGAGCAAACAGGAUUAGAUACCCUUGUAGUC
rnacentral:rRNA from 1 species